UGGUGGAGUGAUUUGUCUGGUUAAUUCCGUUAACGAACGAGACCUCGACCUGCUAAAUAGUCCAUGGAAUCUUUCGAUUCCAUGUUACUUCUUAGAGGGACUAUCGGUGUUGCAGCCGAUGGAAGUUCGAGGCAAUAACA
rnacentral:rRNA from 1 species